UACGAAGGGUGCAAGCGUUGUUCGGAAUCAUUGGGCGUAAAGCGCGCGCAGGCGGAUCAGUAAGUCAGGUGUGAAAUCUCGGAGCUCAACUCCGAAACUGCGCCUGAAACUACUAGUCUAGAAUGUCGGAGGGGGCAGGGGAAUUUCACGUGUAGGGGUAAAAUCCGUAGAGAUGUGAAGGAACACCGGGGGCGAAGGCGCCUGCCUGGACGACUAUUGACGCUGAGGCGCGAAAGCGUGGGGAGCAAACAGG
rnacentral:rRNA from 1 species